GACAGAGGUGCCGAGCGUUAGGCGGAAUCACUGGGCUUAAAGCGUGUGUAGGCGGGCGGGCAAGUACCUUGUGAAAUCCCACGGCUCAACCGUGGAACGGCUGGGUAUACUGCCUGUCUUGAGCCAACUAGGGGCGAGCGGAACAGACGGUGGAGCGGUGAAAUGCGUAGAUAUCGUCUGGAACGCCGAAGGUGAAAACAGCUCGCUGGGUGUGCUGACGCUGAGACACGAAGCCAGGGGAGCGAACGGG
rnacentral:rRNA from 1 species